AGCCAAAUGACAGCAUCUUACACACUAGAUGCCAAACACAUUGUCUGCGCAAGCGAAGAUUCACAGGUUUACAUGUGGAAACACGAGGAGCCACGAGUAGGACUAACCGGUAGAAAAACCAUCGCCAUGUGUACUUCUUUCGAAACCUUCCCUUGCAAAGACGUCUCCGUGGCAAUACCUUGGCAUGGCGUUGUUAAAGGAGAACCACCACCCGCACAAACCCAACCGAAGAAAAACCCGAAGAAACCCUCAACCACUACUACACAAGAAAACGCAACCGCAGGUAAAAAAUCCGGCCUCCCACCGUUACCUAAGAAAAACAACGACAACACGGAGAGUGUAGCAACAGAAGAACAUCAAGAAGAUGAACCCACGACACAAGUUCCGCAAAACGAAACAGAGAACAUUGCUGGAGAGACAAUAAAGCCAGGGGAUUCGCCUUCUAUAUCGAUCUCAUCUCGGAUAUCUUCAUGGUCUUGGUUUGAUGGUAGCGGCAGUCAUGGAACUCAUUUGGCUCAACCAACGGCUUGGGGAAUGGUGAUCGUUACAGCCACGAUCGGUGGUCAAAUCCGGGCUUACCAGAACUUCGGUUUGCCACGCAGAGUCAGUCGUCAGGGCUCUCUGUUUUGACGCAGUGUACAUGCAUACUUACGUCUAUUUAUAGCUCCUAAGAAGUUCUUGUAUAGUCUAUCGAGUUUAACAUGUAAUAUUGUAUAGUCACAUAUCAAAGAAGAAAACUUGGUAUAACAAAAUUAUUGAGUCAGCUUGACACCCAUUCAAGAAGGUGAUGAUGCAGCAGAAGUGCCACCGGAGAAGAAGAAAAAGGGGAAAGCUCCAUCGAUUAGAAAAGGAAAUCAGAUCCCAGAUUAUGUCCAUGCGCCUGAAACUGUCUUCUCAUUAUCUGAUAAACCCAUAUGCAGUUUCACUGGCCAUUUGGAUGAUGUUCUGGACUUGUCCUGGUCUCGGUCACAGGUUAGCUUAUGUUCCUUUCUUCCCAACAUUGAUGCAAUCAUACAUGAAUUGCUAUUUGACGAACUUAACCAUGCCUUCUCAUGCAGCUAUUGCUUUCAUCUUCCAAGGACAAAACCGUGCGGUUAUGGGAUAUCGAAACUCAAAGCUGUCUAAAACUCUUUGCCCACAAUGACUAUGGUGAGGAAAGAAAUGUCGCUUGAUACUCAUAAUGCUAAUUUUCAUGUUGUUCUCGGAGAUUCAUGCCUUACUCUCUGGUUUUCAGUUACUUGCGUACAGUUUAAUCCAUUGGAUGAAGAUUACUUCAUAAGUGGCUCACUUGAUGCCAAGAUCCGUAUAUGGAACGUAUCGAACCGUCAAGUAGUGGAGUGGACUGAUCUCAAUGAAAUGGUUACUGCUGUUUGUUACACUCCUGAUGGUCAGGUAUAUGAUUCUCUUCACUUAACAAUCAUAUACUUGGAAUCGACCACCUCGGAUUGAUAUCUAUAUGCUCUUUGGUACGUAGGCUGCAUUUGUUGGUUCACAUAAAGGGAAUUGUCGGCUUUACAGUGCAGAAGGUAUAUUGGCUAAGAACUUAAUCUAUUCUGUGACUAUGUUUAGUUAUUAACCUUAUACUCUUCAUAAAUUUUCUUAUAUUAAUUGAUCAGAUUGCAAGCUGGAGCAAACAAACCAUAUUGAUCUGCAAAACAAAAAGAAAGCUCAAGCUAAAAAGAUCACAGCUUUCCAGGUUUCACCUUCUUUUCUUUUAGACGUUUCGUUUGUUGGCUUUCAUCAGAGAGGAUUAGUACUUACCUUUGAGUUUGCAUGAACAGUUUUCGCCGAUUAAUCCGUCAGAAGUGCUUGUAACGUCUGCUGAUUCACGCAUUCGGGUUCUUGACGGUACUGAACUUGUUCAAAAAUUCAGAGGUAUGUAGCUGAAACAACUCAUUUGUCUCUCUGCCUUUGAUCUCUCACAGUAAAUAUUUUAAAAAUCUUGUAUUGUUCAAUAAACCUGCAGGUUUCAAAAACACAUGUAGCCAAAUGACAGCAUCUUACACACUAGAUGCCAAACACAUUGUCUGCGCAAGCGAAGAUUCACAGGUUUACAUGUGGAAACACGAGGAGCCACGAGUAGGACUAACCGGUAGAAAAACCAUCGCCAUGUGUACUUCUUUCGAAACCUUCCCUUGCAAAGACGUCUCCGUGGCAAUACCUUGGCAUGGCGUUGUUAAAGGAGAACCACCACCCGCACAAACCCAACCGAAGAAAAACCCGAAGAAACCCUCAACCACUACUACACAAGAAAACGCAACCGCAGGUAAAAAAUCCGGCCUCCCACCGUUACCUAAGAAAAACAACGACAACACGGAGAGUGUAGCAACAGAAGAACAUCAAGAAGAUGAACCCACGACACAAGUUCCGCAAAACGAAACAGAGAACAUUGCUGGAGAGACAAUAAAGCCAGGGGAUUCGCCUUCUAUAUCGAUCUCAUCUC
rnacentral:lncRNA from 1 species